UACGGAGGGUGCGGGCGUUAUCCGGAAUUACUGGGUUUAAAGGGUGCGUAGGCGGCUAUGUAAGUCAGGUGUGAAAGUUUGCGGCUCAACCGUAAAAUUGCUUUUGAUACUGCAUGGCUGGAAUUAGGAUGAGGUCAGCGGAAUGUGGCAUGUAGCGGUGAAAUGCAUAGAUAUGCCAUAGAACACCAAUUGCGAAGGCAGCUGGCUAGACCUGGAUUGACGCUGAGGCACGAAAGCGUGGGGAGCGAACAGG
rnacentral:rRNA from 1 species